rnacentral:rRNA from 1 species
CCCUUAGAUGUUCUGGGCCGCACACGCGCUACACUGAAGGAGGCAGCGUGUACUCCUGGAUCGAAAGAUUUGGGUAACCCGCGAAUCUCCUUCGUGCUAGGGAUUGAGGUUUGCAAUUAUCCUUCAUGAACGAGGAAUUCCCAGUAAGUGCAAGUCAUAAGCUUGCGCUGACUACGUCCCUGCCCUUUGUACACACCGCCCGUCGCUACUACCGAUUGAAUGAUUUAGUGAGGACUUCGGACUGGGACCGAUGCGGCUUUCGGGCUGCGUCGGUAUUCUGGAAAGGUGUCCAAACUGUAUCAUUUAGAGGAAGUAAAANUCGUANCA